rnacentral:misc_RNA from 1 species
AAAGUCGUAACAAGGUUUCCGUAGGUGAACCUGCGGAAGGAUCAUUAAUGAUUUUUUAAGCAAACCGAGCGAAAGCGAGGUUUUGCGAAUAUAUUUAAAACCCCCACUCUUUAUAAAAGAAAAAAUUUUCAUAUUCAUAAAAAUGAAUAAAAAAAAAAAGAUCACUUUCAACAACGGAUCUCUUGGCUCUC